rnacentral:misc_RNA from 1 species
GAUGAAGAAUGUAGCAAAAUGCGAUAAGUAAUGUGAAUUGCAGAAUUCAGUGAAUCAUCGAAUCUUUGAACGCACAUUGCGCCCGCCAGUAUUCUGGCGGGCAUGCCUGUUCGAGCGUCAUUUCAACCCUCAAGCACAGCUUGGUGUUGGGACUCGCGUUAAUUCGCGUUCCCCAAAUUGAUUGGCGGUCACGUCGAGCUUCCAUAGCGUAGUAGUAAAACCCUCGUUACUGGUAAUCGUCGCGGCCACGCCGUUAAACCCCAACUUCUGAAUGUUGACCUCGGAUCAGGUAGGAAUACCCGCUGAACUUAAGCAUAUCAAUAAGCGGAGGA